AGAGUUUGAUCAUGGCUCAGAACGAACGCUGGCGGCGUGCUUAACACAUGCAAGUCGAGUGCGCGCUUUCGUAGCAAUACGGAAGUGGCGCACGGCGCACGGGUGCGUAACACGUGGGUAACCUGCCCUUUGGUGGGGAAUAACUCCGCGAAAGCGGAGCUAAUUCCGCAUAAGAUCCGCAAGGAUGAAAGCCGCAAGGCGCCGAUGGAGGGGCCCGCGCCCGAUUAGCUAGUUGGUAGGGUAAUGGCCUACCAAGGCUUUGAUCGGUAGCUGGUCUGAGAGGAUGAUCAGCCACACUGGAACUGAGACACGGUCCAGACUCCUACGGGAGGCAGCAGUGGGGAAUCUUGCACAAUGGGCGAAAGCCUGAUGCAGCGACGCCGCGUGGGGGAUGAAGCUUCUCGGAGUGUAAACCCCUUUCGAUCCGGACGAAAACCCGCAAGGGAUUGACGGUACGGAUAUAAGAAGCCCCGGCUAACUACGUGCCAGCAGCCGCGGUAAGACGUAGGGGGCCAGCGUUGUUCGGAAUUACUGGGUGUAAAGGGUUCGUAGGCGGUGCGGCAAGUUGGGAGUGAAAUCUCUGGGCUUAACCCAGAGGCUGCUUCCAAAACUGCUGUGCUUGAGUGUGAGAGAGGCUCGUGGAAUUGCAGGUGUAGCGGUGAAAUGCGUAGAUAUCUGCAGGAACACCCGUGGCGAAAGCGGCGAGCUGGAUCACUACUGACGCUGAGGAACGAAAGCUAGGGGAGCAAACAGGAUUAGAUACCCUAGUAGUCC
rnacentral:rRNA from 1 species